UACGAAGGGUGCAAGCGUUACUCGGAAUCACUGGGCGUAAAGCGCGUGUAGGCAGCGACUGCAAGUCGGGUGUGAAAGCCCUGGGCUCAACCUAGGAAGUGCACUCGAAACUGCAGGGCUUGAGUUCUGGAGAGGAAGGCGGAAUUCUCGGUGUAGAGGUGAAAUUCGUAGAUAUCGAGAGGAACAUCGGUGGCGAAGGCGGCCUUCUGGACAGUGACUGACGCUGAGACGCGAAAGCGUGGGGAGCAAACAGG
rnacentral:rRNA from 1 species